GCUGGUCAAAGGGAACCACGGCUGUCUUCCUUGAAGGUUUGGUCCCCUUUAACCAGCUA
rnacentral:pre_miRNA from 1 species